AGGAGGAACAACCCCAGUGGCGGGGCCAGCUCUGGAGCCCUGGAUUCAGCUCCGGCAGGAACUCCGGAGCUCUCGGUCUGCAGGGCCUGGAGGCUCCGGGGCGGG
rnacentral:pre_miRNA from 1 species